rnacentral:lncRNA from 9 species
GUUUCUGUGGUAACCUAUGGGUUUUCCAGGCCUUCAGCAUCCAGGGCCCACCACGCUGCAGCCGCCCACCCUCCAGCCCUGACCAAAGGCAGGUCCCUCCAUCACCGGCCUUUUCACCGGGGACGUGGGCAUCCUUCUCCAGAAGGAUCUCCACUUGUGAGCGAUCAGGAAAAAAGAAAGAAAAGAGCCUAGAACCCCACUUUCCCGCCACCACCUCGCCUAACCCGCCCACCGCCCUCUGCGGCAGAUCUGCCAUCCUCACAUCGUCAGAGCAGAAAACGGAGGCUCCGGGCAGAGAUGGGGCCAAACUAGGGUCUAGCUUCGGCCCUUUACCACGGCCCCGCCCAGCACCACCUUUUGCAAUGUUUUGGCUGAAACAGAGAUUUCCUGGGAACCAAGAACGCUGACUAGGCCAGCACUUCUCCAUUUACCAGCAGUCCGGGAGGUGCCUGUGCUCUAGUGCCAUUACAGGAAGACAAGGGAACUCCCGGGGGCAGGAGCCAGCGAGGAAGAAGGCCCAGAGACGUGCGAGGGGGAACUGCGUGGAGGAGGUCGGAGGUCGCUGGAGAGACAAUGGGGUUCAACUGGUCAAGACGGCAUCGCCCUUCUGUUUGUCCUUCACGCGCUCCCGCCUUGCACUGGGUCUGCUCUGGGUGACAGAGGACAGCAUUCUGGGGCGCAGAGUUUGGCCAAAAAAAAAAUUUCAUGGCACUUAGUAAAAAUAAAAAGGACCUGCAGUGAGGAAAUAUUAACCCAGGACACCUCAAGUGUAUCAAGAAAGCCUGGUCUGAAUCAACUAACACCACAUCAACGAAUAUCCCGGACCUGGGAGCCCCCAUGUAGCUGUCCAAAGCGUAGGCUGGGGGGUGAGGCAGACCCAAAUUCCGACUCCACCGCUUACCUGUGCUGUGAUCCUAGGAAUUUUUCAAGAACAAAGUGA